GUUCAUAAAUGUUUUGCAGGCAAAAAAGUCAAGAAAAGUCAAAGUAAGUAGUAAGUCAUGUAAAGACUGACAUCUUAAUGUAAAAUACUGCAGGCAUGAAAAGAUUAAAGAAGCAGGAUUGUGAAACAUGGGUUUCUGGGUGACAGUUGAGGUUGCACCCUUUUCCUGCAAAAACAAUGAACAAAAAAAUGCUGAUUUUGCGAGAUUUUACUGUAUAAAAAGGCAACUCUGCUGGAGGUUUUUUUGUUUCUGCUUUACGAUGUAUCUGAAGUGUCUGCUGAUCUGCCAUCUUCUGAUCAUCCUGCUGGUGAAGAACACCCUGACGUUGUCCUGCUCUUCCUGCUCUGAGAUCAAAUGCCGAACAGAUCUCAAGUGUCCUGGAGGAAAGGUGUUUGGUGCAUGUCACUGCUGCUUGGUGUGCGCCAAACAGAAGAACGAGGUCUGCGGUGGUCUGUGGGGGCUUUUGGGGAGAUGUGACGAGGGUCUUGUGUGUGAGGUCAAAGGACGGAAGUUGUAUGAAGGAGGAGUAUGUCAAGAAGCGGUUCGUAAAGAACUUGAGACAAACGAACUACCUCAAGAUGACGACGAAGGCUCCGGGUUGUCCUCCUGGCACCAUCCCAACCAGGCCUGACCAGAACAUCUACAGAAGGAGACACGUUUUCACUGUAAAACACACAGCAGGUUGUAAGUGUGAGUAAACAGUCCUGCAUUGUCAUUACUGCUAAAAUCGCUUUUUAUUGGAACCCUUCAGAUCUACUGAAUUCCUGUUACACUCUGAAGGUGAAUGUACGAGUUGUUCCUGAUGAUUUAUUUGCAAUAAAAUGUUUUCUAAAGCAUCAAA